AACGAACGCUGGCGGCAUGCCUAACACAUGCAAGUCGAACGAGAUCUUCGGAUCUAGUGGCGCACGGGUGCGUAACGCGUGGGAAUCUGCCCUUAGGUUCGGAAUAACAGCGAGAAAUUACUGCUAAUACCGGAUGAUGUCUUCGGACCAAAGAUUUAUUGCCCAGGGAUGAGCCCGCGUAGGAUUAGCUAGUUGGUGGGGUAAUGGCCUACCAAGGCGACGAUCCUUAGCUGGUCUGAGAGGAUGAUCAGCCACACUGGGACUGAGACACGGCCCAGACUCCUACGGGAGGCAGCAGUGGGGAAUAUUGGACAAUGGGCGAAAGCCUGAUCCAGUAAUGCCGCGUGAGUGAUGAAGGCCUUAGGGUUGUAAAGCUCUUUUACCAGGGAUGAUAAUGACAGUACCUGGAGAAUAAGCUCCGGCUAACUCCGUGCCAGCAGCCGCGGUAA
rnacentral:rRNA from 1 species